rnacentral:rRNA from 1 species
CACAGAGUUAGCCGGUGCUUAUUCUGUCGGUAACGUCAAAAUUGCAGAGUAUUAAUCUACAACCCUUCCUCCCAACUUAAAGUGCUUUACAAUCCGAAGACCUUCUUCACACACGCGGCAUGGCUGGAUCAGGCUUUCGCCCAUUGUCCAAUAUUCCCCA